UAAGUUAAAAAAUAUUUUUUUUUUCCUUAAGGCCCGGUACUGUGGCACUUCGUGAAAUUAGACGUUAUCAGAAGUCCACUGAGCUGCUCAUUCGCAAGCUUCCCUUCCAGCGUCUGGUGCGAGAAAUUGCUCAGGACUUCAAAACAGACCUGCGCUUCCAGAGCGCGGCCAUUGGUGCUUUGCAGGAGGCAAGUGAGGCCUAUCUGGUUGGCCUGUUUGAAGACACCAACCUGUGUGCUAUCCAUGCCAAACGUGUAACAAUUAUGCCAAAAGACAUCCAGCUAGCACGCCGCAUACGUGGAGAACGUGCUUAAGAAUCCACUAUGAUGGAAACAUUUCAUUCUUUUAAAAAAUUUUCUCUUCUUCCUGUUAUUGGUAGUUCUGAACGUUAGGUUUUUUUUUUUUCAUGGGGUCAAAAGGUACCUAAGUAUAUGAUUGCAAGUUGAAAAUAGGGGACAAAUCAGGUAUUUGGCAGUUUUUCCAUUUUCAUUUGUGUGUGAAUUUUUUUAAUAUAAAUGCGGGGACAUAAAGCAUUAAUGCAAGUCAAAUGUUUCAGUGAACAAGUUUCAGCAGUUCAACUUUAUAACAAUAUAAAUAAACCUGUUAAAUUUUUCUGGACAAUGCCAGCAUUUGGAUUUUUUUAAAACAAGUAAAUUUCUUAUUGAUGGCAACUAAAUGGUGUUUGUAGCAUUUUUAUCAUACAGUAGAUUCCAUCCACUCACUAUACUUUUCUAACUUAGUUGUCCUACAUGCAAGUACAUGUUUUUAAUGUUGUCUGUCUUCUGUGCUGUUCCUGUAAGUUUGCUAUUAAAAUACAUUAAACUAUA